AAGCUCGCACGCUGUUUUGCUGCCUUAAAACAGAAGCUCGGCCAUUGCUCCCUAUACUUGGGCUGGGCUUUAGUUACAGAAAGGCCUCAGUCCCUGCAGCCAUUCGCCUCACCAUGCCCUGUCUAAUGGGGCAGGCUGGGGCAGGGAGCAAAAAGGAGUUCACCUUUGUAGUGGGCGCUGGGAUCCCCAGGAAGAAGGAGCCAGUCUCCAGCUUGUUCACGGUUGACCAACUCUCCAACCCCCUCAGGACUCCUGGGCUGUUUAUAGCCUCACACCCCAAACACAAACUGUUGUUUGCAGCUUUUGCAGGGCCUAACCCAAGGCUCGGCUUCAACUCAGGUUUCCCUAUGUGCAGACAUCGAGCAGAGCUACUCGUAAGGGGUCCCAACGCCUUAUGAAAUUUAAACAAUCAAGAUGAAGCCACUAACCUGUGAAAGUUCUAUUCAUCUAGUGUAGACAGCCAGGUUACAACAUGCGCCCCAGGCCCCUGGCACGGUGCUCUGUGGAGGGUGCUCGAGGCUCAGCCACCUUGCCGGCCCCUGAGCCUCCCCUCCUCUGGGGACCUUCCGCUAAGACCAGCACGUCUUCUCAUGCCCCACACAGAGCCAAGCUCCUUCCUAGCCUGCCUGGAUUCUCCUACCUGGAAUCCCCUGUCCACAUCAAUUAAAGCAACAAACAAGCCACGAAACCUGUCAUCCAGCAUGCUCUUUGUGCCGGCAAUGUGUCUGCCUCUCCCCACUCCACCGUCAAGGCCGUUCGUGCCUUUAGUGACCACUCCAGCUCCUAUUUCUCUGCUUUCUCUAAUUGCAGCAAGCACUGUUUCUCUGCAUUGUGUACCCGUGCUUACCUGAUAUGCCCUGUAUGGUUCUCUAAGAACCUCCUCUGAGUCCACCUGAGGCCCAGACGGAAAACCGAGCUCCACCUCCCUUCCACGACCCACGGUGCCCAGGACAGUGCUGGCCAUGAAGUCAGCCCUCCACCACCUCCCUGCACUUGAAACCUGUUUCCCAGAGAAACACGCAGGCUGGGGUGGGACUCCCAUCUUCCUUCCAGGUCUCUCCUCCCCUCCCACUGGAUGAGGACAGGGCACCAACACGGGCCUCCCUUUCCACGCAGGGCUCUGUCACUCAAUUGUAUGGAACGCUGUUUCCCGGGUCUCACAAGCUCUAGGGGCUUUGUAGGUGGAUACAGUUUACAACCAUUGAGUGCCUACUGUGUGCCGGGCCUCUGGAGAGGUGGGGCUGAUGGAAUGCUCCCUGGCCUCUCUUCUGGAGGAGUGGAUGACCCGGCCCAGAAGUCGGUAGAAAAGCACAGGGUCGGAAAGCACUGGAAGAGGCAGAAGCGACGCCCCGGGAGCCCCACAGGGGGUCCUUUCAGAAGGAGCUCACCUCCGCAGCACUGACAGGGCCCGGCCACCCCUCGGCAGUCUGGGUCAAGCACCAGGUCACCUGAGGAUGGGAGGAGUUUGGGAUUGGAGGAGGCGAGUAAGGGCUGAAGCAGGAGGUAAACUGAGCCCCGGUCAGGAGGACCACGCCAGGUAUCCCAAGGGUCUGAACUACUUCCUGUGGGAAGUGGGAAUUCGCUUGGGGUUCUCGAGGCGAGGGAAGGACCUGGGUGUGACAUUCUGUUGCCCCACAAGGCUGGCUCAUAGGGGUCACUUCCUCGGGGUGGCCCACAGGCUCUGGCGUACAGCUGCCUGUGUCCUUAGCAAGGGUUCCCAUUUUCGGGUCCCUCACUUCCAAGUCUCCUCUAUCUGGCCUCAGCUUUAGUUAAGUGAUGAUUAUAUGUGUGCUUCCACGCUCCAAGCUGCUGUGACAAUGUGGACCCCUCUCCUGGUCGAUGCUCCCCACGUGAGAUCCUAUGUGAUCAGUUCCUUGCCGCAGCCAGCAGCAGAGCACCUCUCUUCUCAGAGGUAGCAUGGUGCCCACCAAACAACCACGAGCCAUCAUCCAUCCCCUUGGCCCUGACUACCAGGACACCUGU
rnacentral:lncRNA from 1 species